AUUCUACUCCCUCCAUUGCACAAUACAUGCCUUCUAUUUGUCAAAAUAUAUAUGUAUCUAGACAUGUUUUAGUAUAUAGGUACAUCCAUUUUUGGACAAAUGGAAGUCAAGUAUUUUGGAAUGGAGGGAGUACACA
rfam:Triticum aestivum genome assembly, contig: Triticum_aestivum_CS42_TGACv1_scaffold_329676_4BS